rnacentral:sRNA from 1 species
CGAGUUACAAGCUCUGGUCAUGGCAAUGCAAAAUUGUUGGAGCAAAGGCCAUAAGAAGGUUUAUUUUGAGGGAGAUAACAAAGAGGUAGCCGAUACAAUCAAUGACAGGAAUCCAAACUUUGCGGUUUUUAAUUGGCUAAGAGAGGUUGUGGCUUGGAAAACAAGAUUUGAGGAUUGUCGCUUCACAUGGGUUCGACGAAAUUCCAACAUGGCAGCAGACACAUUAGCUAAACAUGCACUACCUUCACAUACUUCUUAUCAUUUUUCUAGUUUUACUCCUCAUGUAAUUACAGACAUACUCCAUCGAGACUUUGUCUCUGCAGUUCAAUAAUAAGAUUGAUGUUGAUGAAAAAA